GUGCUCACUUCAGCAGCACAUAUACUAAAAUUGGAACAACACACAGAAAAUUAGCAUGACCCCUGCACAAGGAUGACACGCUAAUUUGUGAAGUAUUUCAUAUUUUU
rnacentral:snRNA from 1 species